rnacentral:rRNA from 1 species
CCUACGGGGGGCAGCAGUAGGGAAUCUUCCGCAAUGGACGAAAGUCUGACGGAGCAACGCCGCGUGAGUGAUGAAGGCUUUCGGGUCGUAAAACUCUGUUGUCAGGGAAGAACAUCCGGGAUAACCUCCCGGUCUGACGGUACCUGAUCAGAAAGCCCCGGCUAACUACGUGCCAGCAGCCGCGGUAAUACGUAGGGGGCAAGCGUUGUCCGGAAUUAUUGGGCGUAAAGCGCGCGCAGGCGGUUUCUUAAGUCUGGUGUGAAAGCCCGCAGCUCAACUGCGGAGGGCCACUGGAAACUGGGAAGCUUGAGUAUAGGAGAGGAGAGCGGAAUUCCACGUGUAGCGGUGAAAUGCGUAGAUAUGUGGAGGAACACCCGUGGCGAAAGCGGCUCUCUGGCCUAUAACUGACGCUGAGGCGCGAAAGCGUGGGGAGCAAACA